rnacentral:rRNA from 1 species
UACGGAGGGUGCGAGCGUUAAUCGGAAUUACUGGGCGUAAAGCGCGCGUAGGCGGUUGUGUAAGUCGGAUGUGAAAGCCCAGGGCUUAACCUUGGAAUUGCAUUCGAAACUGCACGGCUAGAGUAUGGGAGAGGAAAGCGGAAUUUCCGGUGUAGCGGUGAAAUGCGUAGAUAUCGGAAGGAACAUCAGUGGCGAAGGCGGCUUUCUGGACCAAUACUGACGCUGAGGUGCGAAAGCGUGGGGAGCGAACAGG